AAAAUGCUACCGAUUAUGGAUGGACCCGCGUCUGAUUAGCUAGUUGGUGGGGUAAAGGCCUACCAAGGCGACGAUCAGUAGCCGGCCUGAGAGGGUGAACGGCCACACUGGGACUGAGACACGGCCCAGACUCUACGGGAGGCAGCAGUGGGGAAUCUUCCGCAAUGGACGAAAGUCUGACGGAGCAACGCCGCGUGUAUGAUGAAGGUCUUCGGAUUGUAAAGUACUGUCUUUGGGGAAGAACGAUUGUCUUGAAAAUAUUGAGACAAUAUGACGGUACCCAAGGAGGAAGCCCCGGCUAACUACGUGCCAGCAGCCGCGGUAAUACGUAGGGGGCAAGCGUUGUCCGGAAUUAUUGGGCGUAAAGGGCGCGUAGGCGGAUAUUUAAGUCCGGUGUGAAAGAUCAGGGCUCAACCCUGAGAGUGCAUCGGAAACUGGGUAUCUUGAGGACAGGAGAGGAAAGUGGAAUUCCUAGUGUAGCGGUGAAAUGCGUAGAUAUUAGGAGGAACACCAGUGGCGAAGGCGACUUUCUGGACUGUAACUGACGCUGAGGCGCGAAAGCGUGGGGAGCAAACAGGAUUAGAUACCCUGGUAGUCCACGCCGUAAACGAUGAGUGCUAGGUGUAGAGGGUAUCGACCCCUUCUGUGCCGCAGUUAACACAAUAAGCACUCCG
rnacentral:rRNA from 1 species